UAAACUUGUGAAUUAUUGAUUGAGAUUGAUUCUGUCUUUAUGUUUAUGGAUUUAGUUUUUGGGUAAUAUUAAAUAUGAGUUUUUGCGUGUUAAUAUAAUUAUCUAAAGGAUAAUUUAUUUUAUUAUUUGUAGUUUUUAUUUUUGGUUUAGAUACAUACUUGUAGUUCCAGUUAAUUCAAUUAGAAUUGUUUUAAGGUGUGCCAGCAAACGCGGUUAUACAUCUAAUUCAAAUUAAUUUUUUUGGUUAAUAUUUAUUUUGUUAUUUUGGGAUUUAAUUUUAAAUUUUGAGGUGAAAUUUUAAUUUAAUUUAUAUAUCCUUGGUUUAAUAUUAUAUGAAGUUUAGGAUUUAAACUAGGAUU
rnacentral:rRNA from 1 species